AGAGUUUGAUCCUGGCUCAGGAUGAACGCUAGCGACAGGCCUAACACAUGCAAGUCGAGGGGCAGCGGGGAGGCAGCAAUGCCUCCGCCGGCGACCGGCGCACGGGUGAGUAACACGUAUGCAACCUGCCCGGCCCAGGGGAAUAAGCGGCGGAAACGCCGUCUAAUUCCGCGUACACCUCCCAGCGGGCAUCCGCGGGGAGGGAAAGGAGGCGACUCCGGGACCGGAUGGGCAUGCGGCGCAUUAGCUAGUUGGCGGGGCAACGGCCCACCAAGGCUGCGAUGCGUAGGGGUUCUGAGAGGAAGGCCCCCCACAUUGGAACUGAGACACGGUCCAAACUCCUACGGGAGGCAGCAGUGAGGAAUAUUGGUCAAUGGGCGAGAGCCUGAACCAGCCAAGUCGCGUGAGGGAAGACGGCCCUACGGGUUGUAAACCUCUUUUGCCGGGGAGCAAUGGCCGACACGCGUGUCGGCAGGGAGAGUACCCGGAGAAAAAGCAUCGGCUAACUCCGUGCCAGCAGCCGCGGUAAUACGGAGGAUGCGAGCGUUAUCCGGAUUUAUUGGGUUUAAAGGGUGCGUAGGCGGACUGGAAAGUCAGCGGUAAAAUCGAGAGGCUCAACCUCUUUCCGCCGUUGAAACUGUCGGUCUUGAGUGGGCGAGAAGUAUGCGGAAUGCGUGGUGUAGCGGUGAAAUGCAUAGAUAUCACGCAGAACUCCGAUUGCGAAGGCAGCAUACCGGCGCCCGACUGACGCUGAGGCACGAAAGCGUGGGUAUCGAACAGGAUUGGAUACCCUGGUAGUCCACGCAGUAAACGAUGAAUACUAAUUGUCCGGUCAGAAUGAUGACUGGGUGAUACAGCGAAAGCGUUAAGUAUUCCACCUGGGGAGUACGCCGGCAACGGUGAAACUCAAAGGAAUUGACGGGGGCCCGCACAAGCGGAGGAACAUGUGGUUUAAUUCGAUGAUACGCGAGGAACCUUACCCGGGCUCAAACGUAGAAUGACAGACGGUGAAAGCCGUUCUCCCUUCGGGGCAGUCUACGAGGUGCUGCAUGGUUGUCGUCAGCUCGUGCCGUGAGGUGUCGGCUUAAGUGCCAUAACGAGCGCAACCCCCAUCUACAGUUGCUAACAGGUAAAGCUGAGGACUCUGUGGAGACUGCCGGCGCAAGCUGUGAGGAAGGCGGGGAUGACGUCAAAUCAGCACGGCCCUUACGUCCGGGGCGACACACGUGUUACAAUGGCAGGUACAGCGGGAAGCCAUAUGGCGACAUAGAGCGGAACCCGAAAACCUGUCUCAGUUCGGAUUGGAGUCUGCAACUCGACUCCAUGAAGCUGGAUUCGCUAGUAAUCGCGCAUCAGCCACGGCGCGGUGAAUACGUUCCCGGGCCUUGUACACACCGCCCGUCAAG
rnacentral:rRNA from 1 species